rnacentral:rRNA from 1 species
GAGUUUGAUCAUGGCUCAGAACGAACGCUGGCGGCAUGCCUAACACAUGCAAGUCGAACGAAGUCUUCGGACUUAGUGGCGCACGGGUGCGUAACGCGUGGGAAUCUGCCCUUGGGUACGGAAUAACUCAGAGAAAUUUGUGCUAAUACCGUAUAAUGUCUUCGGACCAAAGAUUUAUCGCCCAAGGAUGAGCCCGCGUAAGAUUAGCUAGUUGGUGAGGUAAGAGCUCACCAAGGCGACGAUCUUUAGCUGGUCUGAGAGGAUGAUCAGCCACACUGGGACUGAGACACGGCCCAGACUCCUACGGGAGGCAGCAGUGGGGAAUAUUGGACAAUGGGCGAAAGCCUGAUCCAGCAAUGCCGCGUGAGUGAUGAAGGCCUUAGGUUGUAAAGCUCUUUACCCGGGAUGAUAAUGACAGUACCGGGAGAAUAAGCUCCGGCUAACUCCGUGCCAGCCGCCGCGGUAAG